UACGUAGGGACCAAGCGUUGUUCGGAUUUACUGGGCGUAAAGGGCGCGUAGGCGGCGCGGUAAGUCACUUGUGAAAUCUCUGAGCUUAACUCAGAACGGCCAAGUGAUACUGCAGUGCUAGAGUGUGGGAGAGGUGAGUGGAAUUCCCGGUGUAGCGGUGAAAUGCGUAGAUAUCAAGUGGAACACCAGUGGCGAAGGCGAGUCUCUGGACAUUUCCUGACGCUGAGGCACGAAAGCCAGGGGAGCAAACGGG
rnacentral:rRNA from 1 species